rnacentral:rRNA from 1 species
GUGUAAGCCGCCGCGGUAAUACGUAGGGUGCGAGCGUUAAUCGGAAUUACUGGGCGUAAAGCGUGCGCAGGCGGUUUGUUAAGAUAGGCGUGAAAUCCCCGGGCUCAACCUGGGAACUGCGCUUAUGACUGGCAAGCUAGAGUACGGCAGAGGGGGGUGGAAUUCCACGUGUAGCAGUGAAAUGCGUAGAGAUGUGGAGGAACACCAAUGGCGAAGGCAGCCCCCUGGGUCGAUACUGACGCUCAUGCACGAAAGCGUGGGUAGCAAACAGGAUUAGAUACCCGGGUAGUCC